rnacentral:rRNA from 1 species
AUGUCGGCGCCGUGGUGGGAUUCGGACUGGAAGGACCGCUCGGGGGUCGAGUACCGCACCUAUGUUGGCAACCUCUCCUGGAGCACCGAUGAGCGCUUGCUCAAGGACGCCUUCCACGCCUACCGCCCGCUCAGCGCCGAGAUCGUCACCGACCGGGAGACGGGCAGAUCCCGCGGGUUCGGCUUCGUCAACUUCGACGACGACAACUCGAUGAACAACGCCAUCCAGGGCAUGGACGGCCAGGAGCUUGGCGGUCGCACCAUCAGCGUCAGCCAGGCCAAUCAGCGCCCCCGCUGCUGGAGGGCAUGA